rnacentral:snRNA from 1 species
GUUCUUUGGCUAAGAGUAUGGGAGUAGCUAUGCUCCUGCUAGGACCUCCAAACAGACUCUUGAGAUCCAUUUGUAGGAGAAUGUAGGCUUGUCAAGACUCCAAGACUCCACACACAUCCAAUGAGGCGCUGCAAAGCAGUCUGCCCUUCUU